UACGGAGGGGGCUAGCGUUGUUCGGAAUUACUGGGCGUAAAGCGCACGUAGGCGGCUUUGUAAGUUAGAGGUGAAAGCCCGGAGCUCAACUCCGGAAUUGCCUUUAAGACUGCAUCGCUUGAAUCCAGGAGAGGUGAGUGGAAUUCCGAGUGUAGAGGUGAAAUUCGUAGAUAUUCGGAAGAACACCAGUGGCGAAGGCGACACACUGGCCCGUUACUGACGCUGAGGCGCGAAAGCGUGGGGAGCAAACAGG
rnacentral:rRNA from 1 species